rnacentral:rRNA from 1 species
UACAGAGGUCUCAAGCGUUGUUCGGAUUCAUUGGGCGUAAAGGGUGCGUAGGUGGCGCUGUAAGUCGGGUGUGAAAUUUCGGAGCUUAACUCCGAAACUGCAUUCGAUACUGCGGUGCUUGAGGACUGGAGAGGAGACUGGAAUUCAUGGUGUAGCAGUGAAAUGCGUAGAGAUCAUGAGGAAGACCAGUGGCGAAGGCGGGUCUCUGGACAGUUCCUGACACUGAGGCACGAAAGCUAGGGGAGCAAACGGG